GUGGGGCGGCGCGGCUGGACGCUCCAAGAGCUGCCUGCAGUGUUCAGGAGGGGCCCGGCCAGAAAGCAGGUUCAUGACCUGCGGGGGAGUCUAAAUUUGUCUCAGCAGAUUUUCACCUGUUCAACUCUGUUCUGGGAUCAGCUAUAGACUGCAAGCUGAGAUCUGGACUUCCUAGAAACUGACCUGACUGCUCCCUGCCUCUUCCGGUGGAUCAACUGACCAGAUGCUUGGGACUGCCCUAUUGCCCAGCUUUUGACUGGCAUUUCAGCCUCCCCAGUCCCUGAUGCCUACGUCCAACGGUCAGCAUGAAGAAGCUACAGAAGACGGAUCUCCGCCCAAAUCCCCCCCUAACAGGCUGAAAUGCUAAGUCAAAAGUGGCUCCCUGACAUUAGCUAUUAUCUUAAACAUCUGCUUAGCUGCUGACCAUACUAAAUUGAUAAGAGAUAACAUGGCUAAACUCAGAAAAAGACUCAGACAGAGACAACAAUUCUUUGAGUCAGGACAGAGCUGGUACAAGAGAUGGUUUAGUCAGUCCCCCUGGUUCACCACCCUCGUUUCCUCCCUCAUGGGCCCCCUAAUCAUAAUUCUCUUGAUUCUACUAGUUGGGCCUUGUAUUCUAAAUUGGCUGAUCCAGUUCAUAAAAGACCGGUUCUCUGUCGUACAAAUGUUGGUGUUGACCCAGCAGUAUCAUCAGCUCAAACAGCAGGGGACAGAAUUUAACUCUUCCUAGGCCCGAGAAUGGAAGAUUCCAUUCUAAGUUAAAAGAAAAUGGGGGAAUGACAGUUUGUGUUAUUCACUCUCAUAGAUAUCUGUGAGACUGUUUCAGCUAAGAUAGGGAAAAACAAAAUAACAGGUGGCGGGCCACGUCAAGGGGUCAUCCUACCCCCCUUGACCACCCAGUUCCUAGAAUCUUGGUGCCCCUGCCAAACUUUGACGCAAAUUGUGGUCUCGUGUAAACGUACCAAUCAGCCCCCUGUAACCAUGCCCUCUCGUUUCUGUACCAGUGUUUCUGCCUCUAAAACCCUAUAAAAACCCCAGCUUCCCAUCUAGGGGGCGCGGAAGUCUUCCGAAAGACUUUUUGCCCCGGGUACCUGAGUAUCAAAAUAAAAGCCUCUUGCUGUUUGCAUCCGAA